UACGUAGGGUGCGAGCGUUGUCCGGAAUUAUUGGGCGUAAAGAGCUUGUAGGCGGUCUGUCGCGUCUGCUGUGAAAAUCCGGGGCUCAACCCCGGGUCGCAGUGGAUACGGGCAGGCUAGAGGUAGGUAGGGGAGAAUGGAAUUCCCGGUGUAGCGGUGAAAUGCGCAGAUAUCGGGAGGAACACCGGUGGCGAAGGCGGUUCUCUGGGCCUUACCUGACGCUGAGGAGCGAAAGCGUGGGGAGCGAACAGG
rnacentral:rRNA from 1 species